rnacentral:rRNA from 1 species
AUUGAACGCUGGCGGCAGGCCUAGCACAUGCAAGUCGGACGGUAGCACAGAGAGCUUGCUCUCGGGUGACGAGUGGCGGACGGGUGAGUAAUGUCUGGGGAUCUGCCCGAUAGAGGGGGAUAACCACUGGAAACGGUGGCUAAUACCGCAUAACGUCGCAAGACCAAAGAGGGGGACCUUCGGGCCUCUCACUAUCGGAUGAACCCAGAUGGGAUUAGCUAGUAGGCGGGGUAACGGCCCACCUAGGCGACGAUCCCUAGCUGGUCUGAGAGGAUGACCAGCAAAACUGGAAAUGAGACACGGUCCAGACUCCUACGGGAGGCAGCAGUGGGGAAUAUUGCACAAUGGGCGCAAGCCUGAUGCAGCCAUGCCGCGUGUAUGAAGAAGGCCUUCGGGUUGUAAAGUACUUUCAGCGGGGAGGAAGGCGAUGUGGUUAAUAACCGCGUCGAUUGACGUUACCCGCAGAAGAAGCACCGGCUAACUCCGUGCCAGCCGCCGCAGUAA